rnacentral:sRNA from 1 species
AGCAGCCGCGGUAAUUCCAGCUCCAAUAGCGUAUAUUAAAGUUGUUGCAGUUAAAAAGCUCGUAGUUGAAUUUCGGGGUCAGCAGGUUGGUCGUGCCAAUGGUAUGCACUGGCCUUGCUGAUUCCUCCCUCUUGAUGAGCCGUAAUGCCAUUAAUUUGGUGUUGCGGGGAAUCAGGACUGUUACUUUGAAAAAAUUAGAGUGUUUAAAGCAGGCAUGCGCUUGAAUACAUUAGCAUGGAAUAAUGAAAUAGGACGUUUGAUCCUAUUUUGUUGGUUUCUAGGAUUGACGUAAUGAUUAAUAGGGAUAGUUGGGGGCAUUAGUAUUCAAUUGUCAGAGGUGAAAUUCUUGGAUUUAUUGAAGACUAACUACUGCGAAAGCAUUUGCCAAGGAUGUUUUCAUUAAUCAAGAACGAAAGUUAGGGGAUCGAAGACGAUCAGAUACCGUCGUAGUCUUAACCAUAAACUAUGCCGACUAGGGAUCGGAUGAUGUUAAUUUUUUAAUGUACUCU